rnacentral:rRNA from 1 species
ACACAUGCAAGCUGAGCGGUAGAGAUCUUUCGGGAUCUUGAGAGCGGCGUACGGGUGCGGAACACGUGUGCAACCUGCCUUUAUCAGGGGGAUAGCCUUUCGAAAGGAAGAUUAAUACCCCAUAAUAUUUAGAGUGGCAUCACAUUAAAUUGAAAACUGAGGUGGAUAAAGAUGGGCACGCGCAAGAUUAGAUAGUUGGUGAGGUAACGGCUCACCAAGUCGAUGAUCUUUAGGGGGCCUGAGAGGGUGAUCCCCCACACUGGUACUGAGACACGGACCAGACUCCUACGGGAGGCAGCAGUGAGGAAUAUUGGACAAUGGGUUAGCGCCUGAUCCAGCCAUCCCGCGUGAAGGACGACGGCCCUAUGGGUUGUAAACUUCUUUUGUACAGGGAUAAACCUAUCUACGUGUAGAUAGCUGAAGGUACUGUACGAAUAAGCACCGGCUAACUCCGUGCCAGCAGCCGCGGUAAUACGGAGGGUGCAAGCGUUAUCCGGAUUUAUUGGGUUUAAAGGGUCCGUAGGCGGAUGUGUAAGUCAGUGGUGAAAUCUCACAGCUUAACUGUGAAACUGCCAUUGAUACUGCAUGUCUUGAGUAAGGUAGAAGUGGCUGGAAUAAGUAGUGUAGCGGUGAAAUGCAUAGAUAUUACUUAGAACACCAUUGCGAAGGCAGGUCACUAUGUUUUAACUGACGCUGAUGGACGAAAGCGUGGGGAGCGAACAGGAUUAGAUACCCUGGUAGUCCACGCUGUAAACGAUGCUUACUCGUUUUUGGGGAUUUAUCUUCAGAGACUAAGCG